UGCUGAAAUGCUUGCAAAUCUGGGCUACCAGGCGGGCUGCAAAGUCUCGGAGUGCCCAGUGGUUGUCCACAUCUGGCCGCAGGCACAGCUGUCUGCUUACAAUGCAGGUCAUCACUGCUGGAAUCAACUCAUGCACCUAAAGGAGAAGUGAAGUAAAGCUCCCGACCCCCACCAGAGGCAAACCGGAAAGGAAUGAACUCCUGAGCAUGGAAGCCAUAGAGUGGCUGUACCGGGAGAGAGACAUAGAUGAGAACGGAACUUGCAGAGGUGUGGCUCAGGCAAAUGCAGGUCUGGGAGGUGCCUGCGUCCCCAUCACCUCAACAUUCUUGAGCUUCAGCGCAUAAUCAAUAUCACUGGUGGUAAGCUUCUGCCGCUUCCCCAUGUGCAUGAACUUUAAGGCAUCCUGCGGGUAGGAGAACACACGUCAGCCCAAGACCUGGAGGCAGAAGGGGCCUGGGCGGCACUGUCUGCACCGUGCGGGCUGGGCUACCUGGGCAAUCUCCUUGAUGCGGUAGCUGACCUCAUCUGUCAGCAGCUGGCAGGUCUCCUCCUGAAUCUGAGCGAUACCCAUCGACUCAGCCACCACCUUCAUCGACUCCGAGGGCAGCACGGUAUUGCUGAGCUUCAGCUUCUUCUCCUCAGCCAUUCUGGAGCCCCUGCAGGCCCUCCCCCAAAGGAUGAUACCCCGGGGUGGAGCGCUGGAGACCCUGGCAGGGGGAUGGGAUGAGCAGAAGAGAAAAAAGAAACAUGAGACCCAAAGGAGAGAGGCUGUCCUGUCAGGAGAGGCCACAACACGGAGGACAGUGUGGCUGCAGAGAGGGAAGGUCUCUGUCCAUCUCCACAAGUCAGCACCAGGUGUAAGAGAAGGAGGUGGCAAUCUGAUCCAAGUCAACACAGUUUGAGCUCUGAUUCUGUGCCAGGCCCUGUACGAGUGAGGUAUAGUAGAACGAACGUGGCCCUCAAUUUAAAUCCCAGCCCUGGCACAAC